GCCAGAGUAGUGUAAUGGUUUGAAUGUGGGACUACGACUCUGGGGACUAGGGUUCAACUCCCUGCUCAGGCA